rnacentral:lncRNA from 1 species
ACCGCAGUCAGAGAUCGGCUUGUCUAGAUGCCAACUAUUGCUUGGAUCAGUUGGUGGAGUCUUGUUACAAGUCAAAUUCAGAAUCAAUCGAAGUUGAGUGUUCUGCUUAGGAAGAUCGUUAGAAAUUAGGGAUCGUCAGGGUCCGAAGUUAGGAUCGAGAAAGUCAAGAGUUAUGUAUUGAAUGACCUUCUUUAGAUAGUCCUCUUAUAGUUUGGGAGAGUUAUAUCUACCAUCG